rnacentral:rRNA from 1 species
GGACUUUCCCCUUCGGGGGACAGAGUGACAGGUGGUGCAUGGUUGUCGUCAGCUCGUGUCGUGAGAUGUUGGGUUAAGUCCCGCAACGAGCGCAACCCUUGUCCUUAGUUGCCAGCAUUCAGUUGGGCACUCUAAGGAGACUGCCGGUGACAAACCGGAGGAAGGUGGGGAUGACGUCAAAUCAUCAUGCCCCUUAUGACCUGGGCUACACACGUGCUACAAUGGAUGGUACAAAGGGCUGCAAGACCGCGAGGUUUAGCCAAUCCCAUAAAACCAUUCUCAGUUCGGAUUGUAGGCUGCAACUCGCCUACAUGAAGCCGGAAUCGCUAGUAAUCGUGGAUCAGCAUGCCACGGUGAAUACGUUCCCGGGCCUUGUACACACCG